CACGGAAGGUCAGCAUAUUGCCAGUUUGUGAUCUGGAUGUAACCCAUGGAAGGUGUGUAUAUUACCAGUUUGUGAUCUGGAUGUAACCCAUGGAAGGUCAGCAUAUUGCCAGUUUGUGAUCUGGAUGUAACCCAUGGAAGGUCAGCAUAUUGCCAGUUUGUGAUCUGGAUGUAACCCAUGGAAGGUCAGCAUAUUGCCAGUUUGUGAUCUGGAUGUAACCCAUGGAAGGUCAGCAUAUUGCCAGUUUGUGAUCUGGAUGUAACCCAUGGAAGGUCAGUAUAUUGCCAGUUUGUGAUCUGGAUGUAACCCAUGGAAGGUCAGCAUAUUGCCAGUUUGUGAUCUGGAUGUAACCCAUGGAAGGUCAGCAUAUUGCCAGUUUGUGAUCUGGAUGUAACCCACGGAAGGUCAGCAUAUUGCCAG